GAUGACCCAAAGUGCUUGACAGUAAUUAAAAGUCCUGCAGCACCUGAGCCUGGGAUGGAAGCCGAGGGGCGUGAGGAAGGCAAAGAGGGUGGAUGUCCUGAAGAGAGACAAAAUUUAUCUACCAGUUAGUGAGAUAUAUUGGUUUGCUGGUUAGCAAUGUGUAUUGCUUUGCUGAAAGAGAUAGAAGAGAUGGAGGAGACAGCUGCCUAUUUUCUGGUCUUUGUGAAAAAUGGACUUCCAAUGCAAGUGGUGGAACACAAAACUAACAAGGCUUUCAAAAAGGACUCGGAGAGGUUGUGGUCAACUGAAAAAUAGUCAGUGUUAUUACAUUUAGAGAUGAAAAGGAACUUUGAGGGGA